CCCAGUGACAUUGUUCAACGGCCGCGGUAUCCUACCGUGCGAAGGUAGCGUAAUCACUUGUCCUUUAAAUAAGGACUAGUAUGAAUGGCUCCACGAAAGCUAUACUGUCUCCUUUAUUUAAUCAGUAAAACUAAUCUCCCCGUGAAGAAGCGGGGAUGUACCUAUAAGACGAGAAGACCCUGUGGAGCUUUAAACACUUUAAAACAUUUGAAUUAUUUUCUUUCUCUAUUCCCACUAAAUCACUCAUUUUGUUUUAAGUUUUAGGUUGGGGUGACCACGGAGAAUAAAUUAACCUCCACGUAGAAAGAACUUUCUCUUCUAAGCGAAAAAUUACAUUUUUAUGCAUCAAAAUAUUGACCUAAAUUGACCCAAUUUUUUGAUCAACGAACCAAGUUACCCUAGGGAUAACAGCGCAAUCCGCUUUAAGAGCUCCUAUCGACAAGCGGGCUUACGACCUCGAUGUUGGAUCAGGGUAUCCCAGUGGUGCAGCAACUACUCACGGUUCGUUC
rnacentral:rRNA from 1 species